rnacentral:rRNA from 1 species
AAAGGAAUAGACGGGGGCCCGCACAAGCGGUGGAGCAUGUGGUUUAAUUCGAUGCAACGCGAAGAACCUUACCAGGUCUUGACAUCCAAAGAACCUUUAGGAAACUAGAGGGUGCCUUCGGGAGCUUUGAGACAGGUGGUGCAUGGUUGUCGUCAGCUCGUGUCGUGAGAUGUUGGGUUAAGUCCCGCAACGAGCGCAACCCCUGCUAUUAGUUGCUAACAUUUCGGAUGAGCACUCUAAUGGGACCGCCCGUUACAAGCGGGAGGAAGGUGGGGACGACGUCAAAUCAUCAUGCCCUUUAUGAUCUGGGCUACACACGUGCUACAAUGGAUGGUACAGAGAGCAGCGAAGCUGUGAAGUGAAGCGAAUCUCACAAAGCCAUUCUCAGUUCGGAUUGUAGUCUGCAACUCGACUACAUGAAGUCGGAAUCGCUAGUAAUCGCGAAUCAGAAUGUCGCGGUGAAUGCGUUCCCGGGCCUUGUACACACCGCCCGU